rnacentral:rRNA from 1 species
UACAGAGGGUGCGAGCGUUGUUCGGAAUCAUUGGGCGUAAAGCGCUUGUAGGCGGCUUGUUAAGUCGCGUGUGAAAUCCCUUGGCUCAACCAAGGAAGUGCGCGCGAAACUGGCGAGCUCGAGUGCCGGAGAGGGUCGCGGAAUUCCCGGUGUAGAGGUGAAAUUCGUAGAUAUCAGGAAGAACACCCGUGGCUAAGGCGGCUCUCUAGUACGGUACUGACGCUGAGACGCGAAAGCGUGGGGAGCGAACAGG